CUGGCGGCGUGCCUAAUACAUGCAAGUCCUUCGGACCAAAUCGGAGCUUGCUCUGAUUUGGUCAGCGGCGGACGGGUGAGUAACACGUGGGCAACCUGCCCGCAAGACCGGGAUAACUCCGGGAAACCGGAGCUAAUACCGGAUAACACCGAAGACCGCAUGGUCUUUGGUUGAAAGGCGGCCUUUGGCUGUCACUUGCGGAUGGGCCCGCGGCGCAUUAGCUAGUUGGUGAGGUAACGGCUCACCAAGGCGACAAUGCGUAGCCGGCCUGAGAGGGUGACCGGCCACACUGGGACUGAGACACGGCCCAGACUCCUACGGGAGGCAGCAGUAGGGAAUCUUCCGCAAUGGGCGAAAGCCUGACGGAGCGACGCCGCGUGAGCGAAGGAGGCCUUCGGGUCGUAAAGCUCUGUUGUGAGGGACGAAGGAGCGCCGUUUGAACAAGGCGGCGCGGUGACGGUACCUCACGAGGAAGCCCCGGCUAACUACGUGCCAGCAGCCGCGGUAAUACGUAGGGGGCGAGCGUUGUCCGGAAUUAUUGGGCGUAAAGCGCGCGCAGGCGGUCUCUUAAGUCUGAUGUGAAAGCCCACGGCUCAACCGUGGAGGGUCAUUGGAAACUGGGGGACUUGAGUGCAGGAGAGGAGAGCGGAAUUCCACGUGUAGCGGUGAAAUGCG
rnacentral:rRNA from 1 species